GAGGUCCUGUAGUGUACGUAUAACACUAUUCGUUUUAAAGCCAACACUUUUUGAUAGGGAGCCUGACGUUUCAACUGGAAGUAAAAGCCUUUUUUAGGGACUUACGGAAGGUUGAGCAGGGCACCCACCUGCGAUUGCAGGCUUCAAAACUUGGUGAUCAUUACGGCACAACGGGGCUUCU
rnacentral:other from 1 species